GAAGCUGCUCUUCCUUUGAGAAAAAUGCAACCAAUAUCUCUGGUCUCCCAGGGCAUAGACUUUGGCUGCAUGAAUGACUUCAACAAUUAAUUAAAAUAUCGACACAGAAAAUACACCCGCUAAACCAAUGAUACAACACUCCUAGGAAAAUUAUUUUUUUAACCUAUUCCCAAAUUAUACGAUAUGUGCAGCAUAUCCUUGCAGUGAUCCUUAAGAAACAAAAUUUUCCAAAGCAAAGCAUAAUAAUGACUUUAUUUCUCAGCUUAGUCAAAGCAUAUAGGGCUCAUUACUCUAAAAACCCAAAACACACUACAAACUAUUACCCCUGAAGGCAUUAUAAAAUCUGAACAGAAUAUGCUAAAUCUCUCUCAUAGUAUCAGAUAGCACAUCCAAUUCAAGGCAGCUACAAUGUGAGACUCCCUUCUUAACACUUGACUUCUUUGAG
rnacentral:misc_RNA from 1 species